CCUACGGGUGGCAGCAGUGAGGAAUAUUGGUCAAUGGACGAGAGUCUGAACCAGCCAAGUAGCGUGAAGGAUGACUGCCCUAUGGGUUGUAAACUUCUUUUAUAUGGGAAUAAAAUGUUCCACGUGUGGGAUUUUGUAUGUACCAUAUGAAUAAGGAUCGGCUAACUCCGUGCCAGCAGCCGCGGUAAUACGGAGGAUCCGAGCGUUAUCCGGAUUUAUUGGGUUUAAAGGGAGCGUAGGUGGAGUGUUAAGUCAGGUGUGAAAGUUUGCGGCUCAACCGUAAAAUUGCAGUUGGAACUGGGAGUCUUGAGUGCGGUGGAGGUGGGCGGAAUGCGUGGUGUAGCGGUGAAAUGCUUAGAUAUCGCGAAGAACUCCGAUUGCGAAGGCAGCGCACUGGGCUGCAACUGACACUGAGGCUCGAAAGUGUGGGUAUCAAACAGGAUUAGAUACCCGAGUAGUC
rnacentral:rRNA from 1 species